AUGAGAUCCUUCUUCUGGGCGGGCAAAGACAAAACCAAUGGAGGCCAAUGCUUGGUGGCAUGGAACACCAUUUGCAGACCUACAUGCUUCGGUGGGUUGGGAGUCAAAAAUUUGAAACUCCAAGCCCUGGCGCUUCGGGUUAGGUGGGAGUGGUUGAGCAGAGUUGACAAGGACAUGCCAUGGAGCAAUCUUGCACUGACAGUUGAUACAUAUGCAAGAGCGGUGUUUGAUAGUUUGGUGGGAAUUGAGGUUGGACGAGGUGAUCGUGUCCUCUUCUGGAGAGACGGAUGGAUACAUGGGUUUAAAACUCAGGAUAUUGCCCCAAAUAUUCAAGCCAUGGUUGAAACACGGAUGAUCAACUCGCGCACAGUCCAACAAGCGCUUACUGAUGACAGGUGGGAGCAAGACAUACAAGGGGACAUGUCAUUCAUGGCCCAACUGCAAUUGAUGCAUCUCAGACAUGCAAUUGCCACAAUUCAGAGAGACCCCUUGGUGGAAGACAAGUUCACUUGGCCAUGCUCAGGAGAGGAGGGCACUUAUUCGGCAAAGGCCACCUAUGAUAGACUCUGCCAAGGUUUGACUCGAGAAGCUAUGCACCGCUUAAACUCAAGAUAUUCGCAUGGUUGGCCUUGCAACACAGGAUAUGGACUUCGGACAGGAUAG
rnacentral:rRNA from 1 species